rnacentral:lncRNA from 1 species
GCCCCUAAACAAAUAUAUACUAGUCCAGGGAUAAUGAACGCCAUACUAAUUUCCAAAUUGUACACAAGAAACUAAAAUUAAAAUAAUACAAGACUAACAAAGGCCAGAUGCUCCUGACUUGGGACAGGCGCAAAAAUGCGGCGGGGUUAAACAUGUUUGUGAGAUCUCAACCCUCCCCCUAUACCUCUAACCAAUGUAGAAAAGUAAACGCAUAACAAUACG